UUGGGUUAAGUCCCGUAACGAGCGCAACCCUUGUCCUUAGUUACCAGCACGUUAUGGUGGGCACUCUAAGGAGGACUGCCGGUGGACAAACCGGAGGAAAGGUGGGGAUGACGUCAAGUCAUCAUGGCCCUUACGGCCUGGGCUACACACGUGCUACAAUGGUCGGUACAAAGGGUUGCCAAGCCGCGAGGUGGAGCUAAUCCCAUAAAACCGAUCGUAGUCCGGAUCGCAGUCUGCAACUCGACUGCGUGAAGUCGGAAUCGCUAGUAAUCGUGAAUCAGAAUGUCACGGUGAAUACGUUCCCGGGCCUU
rnacentral:rRNA from 1 species